rnacentral:rRNA from 1 species
CAGUAGCCACGGUAAUACAGAGGAUUUAAGCGUUAUCCGGAAUGAUUGGGCGUAAAGCGUCUGUAGGUGGCUUUUCAAGUCCGUCGUCAAAUCCCAGGGCUCAACCCUGGACAGGCGGUGGAAACUACCAAGUUGGAGUACGGUAGGGGCAGAGGGAAUUUCCGGUGGAGCGGUGAAAUGCGUUGAGAUCGGAAAGAACACCAACAGCGAAAGCACUCUACUGGGCUGACGCUGACACUGAGAGACGAACGCUAGGGGAGAAAAUGGGAUUAGAUACCCCAGUAGUCCCUGUCUCUUAUAC